CCAAUGUGCAAGCUGCAGUCUGGGUUUGUGCUGUGGCAUUGUUAGCCGGUUUGAAUUCACACCUGGCAUUGGCAGGGCCACCUGCUGGUUUUUUUUUUUUUUUUUUUUUUUUUAGACGGAGCAUUUAUUUGGGAUGAGGAAAGGAAAUUGAGCAGAAGGUACAGGAGUAAUAGCAAUUCCCUGUAGCUCUCAAAGCAAAUUUUGAGCUCAUUUUUCUUUUUCUGCAAGCUCAGCAGCAGAAUGCCCAGAGUCUUCCCUGGUAGAUGCAGGUUCCAUAGCGACGUUCUCCUGCAAUGCACGCUGGCAUUUAUUUGGGAUGAGGAAAGGAAAUUGAGCAGAAGGUACAGGAGUAAUAGCAAUUCCCUGUAGCUCUCAAAGCAAAUUUUGAGCUCAUUUUUCUUUUUCUGCAAGCUCAGCAGCAGAAUGCCCAGAGUCUUCCCUGGUAGAUGCAGGUUCCAUAGCGACGUUCUCCUGCAAUGCACGCUGGUAUUCUGCAAUAGCAGUCCAUGUUUUUCCUUGAGCCUGGGACAGGGAGAGCAUGAGAAAUUGAGUAUGGAGUUAGCA
rnacentral:lncRNA from 1 species